GACGAACGCUGGCGGCGUGCUUAACACAUGCAAGUCGAACGGAAAGGCCCUGCUUUUGUGGGGUGCUCGAGUGGCGAACGGGUGAGUAACACGUGAGUAACCUGCCCUUGACUUUGGGAUAACUUCAGGAAACUGGGGCUAAUACCGGAUAGGAGCUCCUGCUGCAUGGUGGGGGUUGGAAAGUUUCGGCGGUUGGGGAUGGACUCGCGGCUUAUCAGCUUGUUGGUGGGGUAGUGGCUUACCAAGGCUUUGACCGGUAGCCGGCCUGAGAGGGUGACCGGCCACAUUGGGACUGAGAUACGGCCCAGCCUCCUACGGGAGGCAGCAGUGGGGAAUAUUGCACAAUGGGCGGAAGCCUGAUGCAGCCACGCCGCGUGCGGGAUGACGGCCUUCGGGUUGUAAACCGCUUUCGCCUGUGACGAAGCGUGAGUGACGGUAAUGGGUAAAGAAGCACCGGCUAACUACGUG
rnacentral:rRNA from 1 species